GUCAGGUUCCGGGUCUUGCAUGUUGAGUUUUAUGGUUGUCGCAUGUAACACCUAGCUACUGCGUCGCCAUCGGAGCUCUCUGCCACUGUGCGGAUCGUUGGGAGUUGUCACCGGAGUUGCUAUAGUUCCAUUCUCUUGUUCCUCUGUUACUGUUGUUAGCUGGUGCCUUUGUGGCUGUUGCCGCCGCGAAAUCUAGUUGAGGUUGACACCGUUGUUUUCGAGCUGAGGGAAAGGAGUUCAAUUGAUGCAUUAGGUUCGGGUUUCGACUAUUUGAGGAAUCGGAUGAAGAAGCCUUAUAAAGAGUUAUAUUGCAUU